GCGGGAAUGUGUGAGGCGGGGGGCGCACGGUACCUGUGACAGCUGUCCCCGCCCCUGCCGGAGUUCUUCACAAAUCACUUGCUUGGUUUGCCAUCCCUUCAGAAGAGAAUUGGUUGCAACUCUUCCAGCCUUGCUGUUGCACAAGUCUCAGUUAAGUGGAUUGUCAAGUUGGCUUGAAAAAAAAACAAACA
rnacentral:lncRNA from 1 species